GACACGUUGUACUGUGAGGAGCUGAAUGAGAAGGUCCGGCUGCUGUACCGUCUGCACAUCCCACCAGCUCUGACAGAAAGUGAGGAUGACCCCUCUCUGAUGAAGAGCCCCCUGGUGUCCACAAACAGACCGCUCUUUGUUAAUCUGCCGUCAGAUGUUGAAGGAGAAGUGAAGGACUACCAGGAGCAGCUGAAGCAGAUGCUGAAGGAUCUGGUCAAACAGAGAGAGAAAGAUGUGGAGAAGCCUCUGCCGCUCAUGAACCAGGUACUGGACACACACUGUACUAGAGUUU